GGCUGGUCUGAAGGUAGUGAGUUAUCUCAAUUGAUUGUUCGCAGUCAGUUACAGGUCGAACUCCUUGUUCUACUCUUUCCCUUCUUCUCACUACUGCACUUGACUAGUCUUAA
ensembl:Y_RNA Y_RNA Y RNA